AUUGAACGCUGGCGGCAGGCCUAACACAUGCAAGUCGAGCGGAUGACGGGAGCUUGCUCCUUGAUUCAGCGGCGGACGGGUGAGUAAUGCCUAGGAAUCUGCCUGGUAGUGGGGGACAACGUUUCGAAAGGAACGCUAAUACCGCAUACGUCCUACGGGAGAAAGCAGGGGACCUUCGGGCCUUGCGCUAUCAGAUGAGCCUAGGUCGGAUUAGCUUGUUGGUGAGGUAAUGGCUCACCAAGGCGACGAUCCGUAACUGGUCUGAGAGGAUGAUCAGUCACACUGGAACUGAGACACGGUCCAGACUCCGACGGGAGGCAGCAGUGGGGAAUAUUGGACAAUGGGCGAAAGCCUGAUCCAGCCAUGCCGCGUGUGUGAAGAAGGUCUUCGGAUUGUAAAGCACUUUAAGUUGGGAGGAAGGGUUGUAGAUUAAUACUCUGCAAUUUUGACGUUACCGACAGAAUAAGCACCGGCUAACUCUGUGCCAGCCGCCGCAGUAAUAC
rnacentral:rRNA from 1 species